UAUUUUGUUUUUAUUGAGGAAAUCAGAGAGAAAGCUAUGAGAUAGUUAAAGCCUGCUAAGGGUUUAUUGAGACUAUAAUGAUGUUCAGUAUGAACUAAGAACCAACUACACUAGAACUGCAGCAUAAUCAUACCUUAGAGUUACUACAAGAUUAAUUUGGAAUCGAAUUUAUCUUAUAGUAAUGAAUUUUCUUUUUUAAAGCUUUUUAGAGCAAAACCUAAUCAGUAGCAUAAGGGACCAAACCUAUGUCAAUCCCACAGCAUAAGUGGCAUAUAAGGAAUAUCCUGUGCAUUUCUCUACAGAAAGGGAAAGGAAGCAGAACUGACUUUGUGCCUACCAGGUGUUGGGUCCUAGGUGUUGGGUCUUACUCUGACCUUUACAAGUAUUACCCUCAAGUUUUCCAACAAGUGGUCAUCAUUACCUUUUUAUAAGUGGGAAAAAUAGGUUUAAAGUAAAUGGCUACCCAGAGUCACACAGUAAAUAGCAAGCAAUUCGUGGAUCUAAACUAAAUUAUUUCUGCCUCCAAUGCUCUCAGUUAUGCUGUGGUGUUUUCUGGAUGAAGUACUAAGAUUUAAAUAUAUUCUUAGAAGUUUUGUGUUGAACCUUAAGUUGCUCUUGGACUUGUUAAACUUGUACCAUCUGAAAUGAACACUCGUAUCCAUUCUCUUUCAGGUUUUGCUGUUACUGCUCAAUGUAAUCACACCUCGAAGAAGAAAUGGAAAACCUUGGGAUGUUGAUCAAGCUCAUAUCCUGCGGAAGAACUGCAGCGGGUCCCAGCUGAGUGGGAGAUGGGAUUCAGCAGUACUGGCCUGAUGUGCUGGAGUGGCCCAGGCAGAGGCCCACUUGCAGAGACUAUGGGAGCCUCAAGAGAAAAUCUACCAUAAGAGAAGGACCAGUCUGACAGCAAGCCCAGCUUCCCAAGAAAAUAGAAGGCUGGAGACAAGCUGCUGUCCAGGUAUGUCCUGAACCAGCCAACUUGAAGUGAACACUGAGCUCUGCUAAGUGAUGGAUGCUACUGAAUAGCAGAGAACCGAAGAUGAACAAGAUAGCCUCUGCCCUUAAUAAGGUCACAGUGUGAGGAGGGAGGCAGAAUGGUGCCUAACUAUAAAUGCAGUGUGGUAGAUUUCACUGGGGACACAGCUGGAGGAGAUCGGGGAAAGCUUCGUGGAGGAGGUGCUGUCGAGUUGACUCAUGAAGGGGUUGAAGAAGCAGGCUCAGAAAGGACCAAGGUUUGGAGCUACCACUGGUGGAGCUAAGAUUCAGACCUGGUUCUUCCUGGUUUCACGUCUCAUGCUUUAACCAUGUGCUGGGCAGACAAGAAAGGAAAUCAGAGCAGAAGAAAUAAUCCAUCUCAAAAAUGGAAACUUCAUGGUGUGUAUUCAGGGAACCGCAGGAAUUCCAGGGAAGAGAUGAGGCAGGGUCCACCUCACUCAGAAGUUGUUUUCGCAACGCUGUCUGGAGUCACAGCCUCGGUGAUCUUCCUUAUUGAUGAAAUACCACUGGAAACUUGAGUGCAGACCCAUUUUGGCCCAGCCUUCUUCUGAGUGCACAGUGCCCACCAGGAACAAAGUGUCCAGGCGACACCCAGCCAGGAGCCUCCACUUCGCAAUGGAAGCCAGCACAAAGCUUGCCGUCAGUGGGGUUCCUGGAGGAACCAGGAAACAGGGCUGAGGUAAGAGAAAGAGCCCCAGCGACUCACUGUCCUCAUCCUCCCCUUCUAUAUCAGUAUGGUCCCCGCUUCUGGUUUGGGAAGGGUGGGGAAGAACACGUGUGCCCCAAACCACACCCCAUCUCGGGCCAAGCAGGGCCAUGGCAGUAUUGCAGUGGGGAAGGAAUGAACACUCUUCAGGGUGGUCUCUUUAUCUGCUCAUGCAGGGGUCCAUCCAGAUCACUUAAGAGUGGAGAACAGGAGCAAGAAUAGAAGUGGCAAGAGAGGGUGCUUUGAGGUCAUGUGACCCUGAGUCUUAUCUCCUUUCUGCGCCUAUGGGCUAUCUGGUCUAGGGCAAAAGUCACUUCACCCCCACCCCGUGAGCUUCAGUUUCCUCCUCUCUGAGAAAGACGUCAGAUGUCAGUGCACAGAGAGGCCAUGGGGAUGGGUGUGCCCAGCAGGAUGCCCAGCAUCUAGUAGGUGCCUGAUAGAUAGGGCUACCUCACUGUGGUUAUCCUCCAAGUGACGAUUAUGUCUUUGAUCUGCUUAAUUUGGCACUGGAUUUGGCGAUGUGUGAACUCGUAUUUCCUUGCCCACAGUUCACAGUAGUGUAAGGAUUAUGUGCUCGGGCUCUCGAGUUUGACCAGACCUCGCCUCAGAUCCUGGCUCCAAUAGUUUCCCAACUCUUUGACUUUGAAUAAGUCACUUCCCUCAUUGGUCUCUGUGGGAGUAAUAAUAGCGCUUACCUUAUAGAAGUGUUGUUAGAAGAAAAUAAGACACUAUGUGUGGCUACUGUUUGGCAUACGGAAAACAUUCAAAUAUUGUGGUAUACAUUACCCUUGUAAUGUAAUAAGUUUUCUUUUUUCCUUUUUUCUUUUUUCCCCCCCUAUUUUUUUUCUCUCCUUCUCUGUCUCCUGCCUUCCUUUCACCCUCCAAAAGAAGUCUAACAGAGUUGGCAGCAAAAUUUAAAGA